AGGGGGGGGCACCAUGCAAGUCGAGCGGUAACAUUUCUAGCUUGCUAGAAGAUGACGAGCGGCGGACGGCUGAGAAAUGCUUGGGAAUAUGCCUUAGGGUGGGGGACAACAGUUGGAAACGACUGCUAAUACCGCAUAACGUCUACGGACCAAAGGGGGCUUCGGCUCUCGCCCUUAGAUUAGCCCAAGUGGGAUUAGCUAGUUGGUGAGGUAAUGGCUCACCAAGGCGACGAUCCCUAGCUGGUUUGAGAGGAUGAUCAGCCACACUGGAACUGAGACACGGUCCAGACUCCUACGGGAGGCAGCAGUGGGGAAUAUUGCACAAUGGGCGCAAGCCUGAUGCAGCCAUGCCGCGUGUGUGAAGAAGGCCUUAGGGUUGUAAAGCACUUUCAGUAAGGAGGAAAGGUUAGUAGUUAAUACCUGCUAGCUGUGACGUUACUUACAGAAGAAGCACCGGCUAACUCCGUGCCGGCAGCCGCGGUAAUACGGAGGGUGCGAGCGUUAAUCGGAAUUACUGGGCGUAAAGCGUACGCAGGCGGUUUGUUAAGCGAGAUGUGAAAGCCCCGGGCUCAACCUGGGAACUGCAUUUCGAACUGGCAAACUAGAGUAUGAUAGAGGGUGGUAGAAUUUCAGGUGUAGCGGUGAAAUGCGUAGAGAUCUGAAGGAAUACCGAUGGCGAAGGCAGCCACCUGGGGUCAAUACUGACGCUUCAUGGU
rnacentral:rRNA from 1 species